GACGAACGCUGGCGGCGUGCCUAAUACAUGCAAGUAGAACGCAGUUUCGAACGGGUGAGUAACGCGUAGGUAACUGCCUCAUAGCGGGGGAUUACUCUUGGAAACGAUAGCUAAUACCGCAUACUGUGAGAUGGACCUGCGUUGUAUUAGCUAGUUGGUGAGGUAAAGGCGCACCAAGGCGCCGAUACAUAGCCGCCCUUAGAGGGUGUCCGCCCAACUUGGACCUGAGACACGCCCCAGACUCCUACGGGAGGAAGCAGUAGGGAAUCUUGGACAAUGGACGGAAGUCUGACGGAGCAACGCCGCGUGGGUGAAGAAGGUUUCGGUAUCGUAAACUACUUUUGUUGAGGAAGCGGUACCUAACCAGAAAGCAACGGCUAACUACGUGCCAGCAGCCGCGGUAAUAC
rnacentral:rRNA from 1 species